rnacentral:sRNA from 1 species
GGAAAGUGCUCACAUACAAAUUAAGAAGUUCAGCUCUGUCUCAGGAGAUGGGGUGUCGGUGUCCCUGGUCGACAAGAACAGACGUCUCCUCGUCAUCAGUGGACUCUUGGCUAAGUGGUGUCGUCAUCAGCAUCUCCCCGCUGUGGGAGUCCAUCCAUCCUAAGUCAGCAGCAGAGCGUGCCUGGGGCGUGAGCAGUUGGAGGGACCGACCAGUGGAGUGGUUUCAGACAAAAUAAAAAAGAA